UACGUAGGGGGCAAGCGUUGUCCGGAAUCAUUGGGCGUAAAGCGCGCGUAGGCGGCCCUGUAAGUCCGCUGUAAAAGUCAAAGGCUCAACCUUUGAAAGCCGGUGGAUACUGCAGGGCUAGAGUCCGGAAGAGGAGAGUGGAAUUCCCGGUGUAGCGGUGAAAUGCGCAGAUAUCGGGAAGAACACCCGUGGCGAAGGCGGCUCUCUGGGACGGUACUGACGCUGAGACGCGAAAGCGUGGGGAGCGAACAGG
rnacentral:rRNA from 1 species